GUAGCUGGCUGCCGCCGCUACCGUCGUGACGUCACGGGUGCCUUGGGCGCUGCUGCGGUGGUUGUGGGGUGGUAGUAGCAGCAUCCUGCAGUAAGUCUACUACUGCCUCCACAGCUGACGAGAGCUGCAUCCGAGACGCCCGUGACGUCACUGCUGUAGUGGUGGCAGUCUGCUACUACAUCCACAGUUACUGCAGCGUAGAGUCAGGUCUAUGAAAUAAUGUGGCCAGCUUCAAGUCCAGGCACAUCCCUUUGGACAAGAACCAGCAUCACCUCCUAUUUUACUACGACUGUACGAGACAAAUGAAAUAAAUAACAGCAUUACUGAAA